GUCUUUGACUAUGCCACUCUGAACAAGCCCAAUCCCGUCUGAUCUCGGAAGCUAAGCAGGGUUGGGCCUGGUUAGUACUUGGAUGGGAGACCACCUAGGAAGACCAGGUGCUGUAGGCA
rnacentral:rRNA from 1 species